UACGAAGGGAGCUAGCGUUGUUCGGAAUCACUGGGCGUAAAGCGCACGUAGGCGGAUGUGUCAGUCAGGGGUGAAAUCCCGGAGCUCAACUUCGGAACUGCCUUUGAUACAGCACGUCUUGAGUCCGAUAGAGGUGGGUGGAAUUCCUAGUGUAGAGGUGAAAUUCGUAGAUAUUCGCAAGAACACCAGUGGCGAAGGCGGCUUACUGGUCCGGUUCUGACGCUGAGGCGCGAAAGCGUGGGGAGCAAACAGG
rnacentral:rRNA from 1 species